GUUAGACCUUUAUACAUACGUACACCAUAAUUACUAAUCAUGUCAGGACCAGGUUAAAAAUUUUAACAAGAAUUUUUUACACUACAAGAUCCACAGUAAAAAUCAGUCAUUAUUUCCCUACUCGAUGAAUCGAUUAUCUUUACUUAAUUCUAGCAAUUACAUUUCCUUGGCAUUCAUGAAACCCAAAAUUGAUCAAGGACAGAUAACUGACAUUUACUCGGUGUAUGGAGAAGAGGGUAUCGCCAGAUGCAUCGAGAAAAAGCUUUAUGCAGUGUGGAUGAUCUUUUGAUUUGUGGGAUAAAUGCUGGACUCCGUACACAAAAUUACCGAAUGAAUCAGUGAAACCUAGAACACAACCGCUCUCAAUUGCCUUGUGUUUCUUGGAUGCAAAAUAAUCGAAUGGGAUUUGGAAAUUGGCCUGGAAUUGAUUCUGAUCGGAGGCUAUGGAGUUUUCUUCCAUAAAAUAAUUCAGUUAACAAUGGUUAAUAUGUAAAAAAUUAUGGGAAAACAUGAAUAAAGAUGUAGAGGAAUGAAGAUGAAGGAGAGAGGGGAUGAUAAAUUCCGACAAAGUAUUGGG
rnacentral:lncRNA from 1 species